rnacentral:rRNA from 1 species
GAUGAACGCUGGCGGCGUGCUUAACACAUGCAAGUCGAACGAUGAAAGCGGGAGCUUGCUCCUGCUGGAUUAGUGGCGAACGGGUGAGUAACACGUGAGCAAUCUGCCCCGAACUCUGGGAUAAGCGUUGGAAACGACGUCUAAUACCGGAUACGACGCGCGAAGGCAUCUUCUGCGCGUGGAAAGAAUUUCGGUUCGGGAUGAGCUCGCGGCCUAUCAGCUAGUUGGUGAGGUAACGGCUCACCAAGGCGACGACGGGUAGCCGGCCUGAGAGGGUGAACGGCCACACUGGGACUGAGACACGGCCCAGACUCCUACGGGAGGCAGCAGUGGGGAAUAUUGCACAAUGGGCGCAAGCCUGAUGCAGCAACGCCGCGUGAGGGACGACGGCCUUCGGGUUGUAAACCUCUUUUAGCAGGGAAGAAGCGAAAGUGACGGUACCUGCAGAAAAAGCACCGGCUAACUACGUGCCAGCCGCCGCCGUAACAC